rnacentral:rRNA from 1 species
CUUAGUGGCGAACGGGUGAGUAACGCGUGAGUAACCUGCCCUGGAGUGGGGGACAACAGUUGGAAACGACUGCUAAUACCGCAUAAGCCCACGGCCCCGGCAUCGGGCUGAGGGAAAAGGAUUUAUUCGCUUCAGGAUGGACUCGCGUCCAAUUAGCUAGUUGGUGAGGUAACGGCCCACCAAGGCGACGAUUGGUAGCCGGACUGAGAGGUUGAACGGCCACAUUGGGACUGAGACACGGCCCAG